GUGGGUAUAGCUCAGUGGUAGCGUGCAAGCUUAGCAUGCAUGAGGUCCUGAGUUCAAUCCCCAGUACUUUCA
rnacentral:tRNA from 1 species